UACGUAGGGUGCGAGCGUUGUCCGGAAUUAUUGGGCGUAAAGAGCUUGUAGGCGGUUUGUCGCGUCUGCUGUGAAAAUCCGGGGCUCAACCCCGGACUUGCAGUGGGUACGGGCAGACUAGAGUGUGGUAGGGGAGACUGGAAUUCCUGGUGUGGCGGUGAAAUGCGCAGAUAUCAGGAGGAACACCGAUGGCGAAGGCAGGUCUCUGGGCCACUACUGACGCUGAGAAGCGAAAGCAUGGGGGAGCGAACAGG
rnacentral:rRNA from 1 species